rnacentral:misc_RNA from 1 species
GAACGCAAAUUGCACUCUCUUCGGAGAGUAUGCCUGUUUGAGGGUCAGUAUUAAUAAAAAUCGGCGUGUUGCUUUUUUGUGACGCUCCGGAGUUUGGGUUAUCUUAUAACGAUACCUUUCGAGGUUGUUUUAAGAGGCUUAAAAUUGACAUCUUUUUUGCGCAUUUUAGACGUACAUAAAUUUUUUUUUAUUUCGUUUAUUCUAAUGCCAAAAUCUAUUAGAUGCGACCAUAUCGUGUGGUUCCGUGUCUAUAAAUUUUUUCAUGAUUUGACCUCAAAUCAGGUAGGAACACCCGCUGAACUUAAG